GCAAACUUGGUCAUUUAGAGGAAGUAAAAGUCGUAACAAGGUUUCCGUAGGUGAACCUGCGGAAGGAUCAUUAACAAAUCAUCAUCGCGUGGGAUAGAUAGCUAAUUACAAUUGUGAUUACUUUUUAUCUCACGAUGAGCCCCGCGCAGCGAUGCGUGUGAGACGAAAGUUUUUUUUCGUUUCGGUGAAAACAUUUUAUCGUUUGUAUCGUUUGACAUGUUAUAUCGUCACAUAUAUCGAAACUUUUAACAAUGGAUCUCUAGGCUCCCGCAUCGAUGAAGAACGCAGC
rnacentral:misc_RNA from 1 species